rnacentral:rRNA from 1 species
CGGUAAUUCCAGCUCCAAUAGCGUAUACUAACGUUGUUGCAGUUAAAAAGCUCGUAGUUGGAUUUCUGAUCUUUGCCAAUGGUUGUGUCGCCGCGUGCGAGGCGCCUUGCGCAGAGGUCAACAUAUGUCACGAGCCAGUGUGAUCUAUUCAUUUAGGUCCACUGGGUAAUGACUCGUUUACUUUGAGAAAAUUAGAGUGUUCAAAGCAGGCAUUUGCCUUGAAUAUGUUAGCAUGGAAUAAUAGCAUAGGACUUCGGUUCUAUUUGUUGGUUGUUCGAGAACUGGAGUAAUGAUUGAUAGGGACGGUUGGGGGCAUCCGUAUUCUCAAGCGAGAGGUGAAAUUCUUGGACCUUGGGAAGACGGACAGCUGCGAAAGCGUUUGCCUAGGACGUUCUCUUUAAUCAAGAACGAAAGUUGGGGGAUCGAAGACGAUCAGAUACCGUCGUAGUCUCAACUAUAAACUAUGCCAGCUAGGGAUCGGUGGGUCUUUGUCACGAGUCCAUCGGCACCUUACGAGAAAUCAAAGCAUUUGGGUUCCGGGGGGAGUAUGGUCGCAAGGCUGAAACUUAAAGGAAUUGACGGAAGGGCACCACCAGGAGUGGAGCCUGUGGCUUAAUUUGACUCAGCACGGGAAAACUUACCAGGUCCGGACAUAGUAAGGAUUGACAGAUUGAAAGCUCUUUCUCGAUUCUAUGGGUGGUGGUGCAUGGCCGUUCUUAGUUGGUGGAGUGAUUUGUCUGGUUAAUUCCGUUAACGAACGAGACCCGCGCCUGCUAAAUAGUCGGCCUCACUUCUGUGGGUGUUGUACUUCUUAGAGGGACCAUCCUGGGUAUACCGGAAGGAAGUUGCGGGCAAUAACAGGUCUGUGAUGCCCUUAGAUGUUCUGGGCUGCACACGGGCUACACUGCAAGAUACGACAAGCGUCGAUCACGCCUGACUGGAAGGUCCGGCCAAUCUUUGAAUAUCUUGCGUGAUUGGGAUAGACCAUUGCAAUUAUUGGUCUUCAACGAGGAAUUCCUAGUAAACGCGUGUCAACAACACGCAUUGAUUACGUCCCUGCCCCUUGUACACACCGCCC